GGCGAAAGGGUGAGUAAUGCAUGGUUAACAUACCCUGGAGACCGGGAUAACUUGCUGAAAGGCGGGCUAAUACCGGAUGGUUUCCCACGGGAAUAAACGGCGGGGCUCCUUCGGGACCUGCUGCUCCAGGAGUGGACCAUGUCCCAUCAGUUAGUUGGUGAGGUAAGAGCUCACCAAGGCAAUGACGGGUAGCUGGUCUGAGAGGAUGGUCAGCCACACUGGGACUGAGACACUGCCCAGACUUCUACGGGAGGCUGCAGUCGAGAAUCAUCCGCAAUGGGCGCAAGCCUGACGGUGCGACGCCGCGUGAAGGAUGAAGGCCUUCGGGUUGUAAACUUCUAACACGGGUUAAGAAACGCCUGGCAUUAAUAGUGUCGGGUUUGACGUAACCCCGAGAUGAAGCACUGGCUAACUCCGUGCCAGCAGCCGCGGUAAUACGGAGGAUGCAAGCGUUAUCCGGAUUUAUUGGGUUUAAAGGGUGCGCAGGCGGAUUAGUAAGUCAGUGGUGAAAGCUCCCGGCUCAACCGGGAAAAUGCCAUUGAUACUGUUAAUCUUGAGUACAGUUGAGGUUGGCGGAAUGUAUCAUGUAGCGGUGAAAUGCAUAGAUAUGAUACAGAACACCGAUAGCGAAGGCAGCUUACCAAACUGUAACUGACGCUCAUGCACGAAAGCGUGGGGAGCAAACAGGAUUAGAUACCCUGGUAGUCCACGCUGUAAACUAUGAUCACUCGCUGUUGGCGAUACACUGUCAGCGGCUUAGCGAAAGUGUUAAGUGAUCCACCUGGGGAGUACGAUCGCAAGGUUGAAACUCAAAGGAAUUGACGGGGGCCCGCACAAGCGGAGGAGCAUGUGGUUUAAUUCGAUGAUACGCGAGGAACCUUACCUGGGCUUAAAUGCAGAACGACCUCCCGAGAAAUCGGGACUUCCUUCGGGACGGACUGCAAGGUGCUGCAUGGUUGUCGUCAGCUCGUGCCGUGAGGUGUCGGGUUAAGUCCCAUAACGAGCGCAACCCUUAUCCUUAGUUGCCAACAGGUAAUGCUGGGAACUCUAAGGAAACUGCCUACGCAAGUAGUGAGGAAGGUGGGGAUGACGUCAAAUCAGCACGGCCCUUAUGUCCAGGGCUACACACGUGCUACAAUGGUCGGUACAGAGGGCAGCUACCUGGCAACAGGAUGCUAAUCUCGAAAGCCGGUCUCAGUUCGGAUUGGAGUCUGCAACUCGACUCCAUGAAGUUGGAUUCGCUAGUAAUCGCGCAUCAGCCAUGGCGCGGUGAAUACGUUCCCGGGCAUUGUACACACCGCCCGUCAAGCCAUGGAAGCUGGGAGUACCUGAAGUCUGUUACCGCAAGGAGCGGCACUAGGGUAAACCAGUAACUGGGGCUAAGUCGU
rnacentral:rRNA from 1 species